UACGUAGGUGGCAAGCGUUAUCCGGAUUUACUGGGUGUAAAGGGCGUGUAGGCGGGAUUGCAAGUCAGAUGUGAAAUCUUCGAGCUCAACUCGGAGCGUGCAUUUGAAACUGUAGUUCUUGAGUGAUGGAGAGGCAGGCGGAAUUCCGUGUGUAGCGGUGAAAUGCGUAGAUAUACGGAGGAACACCAGUGGCGAAGGCGGCCUGCUGGACAUUAACUGACGCUGAGGCGCGAAAGCGUGGGGAGCAAAC
rnacentral:rRNA from 1 species